rnacentral:lncRNA from 1 species
AAACAGUUGACUCACAUAUCUUGUCUAAUUUUAUAGGUGUUUAUUGUGGUAGGGCUAAUUUGGUGCCAGUUUUUUCAUUCAUGUCUAGAAGUGAAGUUCCACUACUUCUGUCUUUUUUUCCCCCUCAUGGCACUUAUUACCCUCUCACAUAUUAGAAAAUUUACUUAUAUGUCAGACAUUAAUAGAUUAUUAUCUGCCUCUUCUCACCACCUUACCAGAAUAUAAGCUUCAUAUGAAUAAAGGUAUUUGUCUGUUUUGUUCACUAAUGUAUCUCAGGCACCUAGAACAGUGCCUGGCACGUAGUUGGUGCUUAAUCAGUAUAUUAUCUCAGUCAUUUUACAAAUAGGAGAUGGCUCAAAGGGUGCAUCUAUAUGUAUUUUUUAACUUUCACAUUAAUAAGUGGUAAAACUUGCUUUUGCAUUUGUUCUCAAACUUCUGACUCAAAAACCUAUGUUCUUCUCACAGUAGCCUUCUUCUUUUUCUAGUUUCUAAAGUAAGACAGAGAAGAGGAAAUAUUAAGGAAUAAAAAAACUCGGAGGCAAAAUGCACAACUAUGUCUCCAUGAACUUCCUAAGAAGAGGCUAAUUAUAGGUUUAUUUACUAACUAAAUACAAUUUAUUCUACAUUCUAGGUGGAAAGCUCUGUACACAAUGAUUAAGACUUAUUCCUGGACUGCAGAGUUUCACCAGUUAGUCUGUAAUAUUGAAAGAGCAUCUGGAAGUUCUUCCAGUUGGAGAAAUAGCUGCAUGUGUUGAAGAACCUUCUCAAGUGGCAAGAAAUCUUCCUCUUGUAGCACUCCCCAGGAAAGAUUUGGUAUUCUUUGGACCCAGAGAAAAUGCUUCAAGUUUUUGAAGCUGCAAAAAGACUCAAGAUAGUUACAUACAGAUUUAAAGUGUGCCAAUGGAAAGAAUGUUGUAUUCGGGAAAUACUUAGUUUCUUUUAUGUGCAUUUUCCCCAUGACAAUGCAUGAAAUGUGAAUAUUAAUAUUUAGACAGCCCCUUAAUGGUUAGAUAGCUAGCAACCAG